UGCCAACGAUCCUGCUCAUCCGAGUGUGGUCCUUCAUCGAAUGGGACUGAUGCGAUAGACAAAAGCCUCCGCCAUUACUGAGCAGUCUUUCGGUUGAUCAUAAUUGAUCAUAAUUACGCGGCCACCAGAACCCCACGGAUCACACAACCAACUGGAGCCUCGGCGGGCUCUUCGCGCGGCAGCAGACGGAAGGACGGCAGCUGAAGGACCGCGGGGAAGCCACGUACUCACAGCAGAUCAUUCCCAUUCCCCCGAGUGUGGCACAUCUCCUCUAGCACUGCUGUAAAGGAUUCAGAUUGAUUAAAAAUUUCAAAUUGAUGGGUUAACGAAA